rnacentral:tRNA from 1 species
GCGGGAGUAGCUCAGUGGUAGAGCAUCUGCUUGCCAUGCAGAUGGCCGAGGGUUCGAAUCCCUUCUCCCGCUCCA